rnacentral:lncRNA from 1 species
AAAAAAAAUGCAACAUUCAAGUGGUGCACGAUGUAGAUGUACCUGUGAAGAAAUUGACGAGACUCCCAAGUAUUGCAAAUUGGGAAGGAUCACAAAAUGAGAAGUAAGUUUCUUAUUCUGCUAUUUCUUAUAAUCAUCUUGAUGUUUUAGGACUAAUGAAAGUGAAAAUGUUUUUACUUUUUAGGGAGUUCACAUGUUUUGUAGAUGGUAUAUUCAAUCUUGGUAAUCCUGUGGGUAAGGAUAUAGUGGAUUGCUGUUUUUUAUACUUAUUUUGUUAUUUUGGGGUUGAUGAAAGUGAAAAUAUUUUUACUUUCUAGGGAGUUGACAUGUUCUUUAGAUGAUAUAUUCAAUUCUGGUGGUCCUGUGGGUAAAGGGUAUUGUGGAGGAUUAUAUAGAAAUUAUCUCUCUUUCAUGGAAGGCGAGAGAUGGGCUGAUGUUGUUGGACACACGAAAAAUAUUUUUGAUGUAGAGUUCACAGUUAUUAUUGGAGUUUUACAAUAUUUUGUUGCACAAGAAUAUUAUAAGCAAUACGAGAAGUUGUUGGUUCAGUGUGACAAUUAUGAGGCAGUGCACUUUGCGAAUGGAACUACACUUGCUACUACUGAGGAGCGUGUUAAACUGAUUAUGUUAGUAAUUUUAAAAUAUAUGUUAGUAUUCUUUCUACUAAUUAACUCUAUUGUAUAGCCUUUAAAGUCUUUAAAUGAAUGUGUUAGACUUGCUCUCAUCACCUUCUUUUCUUGUUGGUUGCAAAUAGCAAAUUCACAGCUUUGAAAUUCGAGUUAGAGAGGCGAGGAAUUAAAGUCCGUGUGGAGUAUGUGAAGGGUUUCACCAACAAGGCUGCCGAUUCAAUUGUGAAUUUGUUCGGUAAUUUGAAAGAAGCAAAAGUACGAGAGAAAGGAGGCAAAGUCAGGACAAUGGAUCUUACAGAAGACAAUUUGAGCGAAGUUGCGGGAAAAGUCAAAGAAAAUUUAUUGAAAAAAUGCAAUUGUCGUACCAUUCUUAAAGAAGAUGUAGCAGGAAAGUAUCAAAUUGAGUUUUAGACUUUUAGUUUGAGUUUAUGUAAAUUGAUGUUGGACUUGCUAAUUACAAACUAAACACCUUUUAGUACCUACUCCACUAUUUGAU